UUUCUCCUCUCUUGCAAGUGUUUAGUGGCUCGUCAACCUAUCCAACCUGUCAUUUUCUGCGAGGCCAGUUGGCCAGCGGUCAGAACGGAAGCCUGUCGUUUGGGGACCUCCUGCACACUGGGCUACAAAUGGAAGAAAGAUAUGGAGCAUACAAACCGAUCCAUUGGAAUGCAAAAUUAUAACAUACAGAUUUAUGCAAGAGGGAUGACUGCAAAGUACGUUGCAUGAGUAGUGUAAGAAGCUGAAAAUUGCUGCUGUUGUAGCUGUCAUAGACACGUUAUUUUCUUUGGGGUUAACAGGGAAUGUGGACGUCUUAUGGACCUCAGAGGAGGAGGCGGACAAGAGAUAAUCUUACGUGUUUGGAAGUGCAUACAGUGGUGGUCCAAAAUGGUGGAGUUCUUGCUUUCGUGAAUUGACAAAGUUGUCCUUUGCUCUUUCAAGCUUCUCCUUUCUGCUUUGUAGAGGACCUCGAUCUUGAUUAUGAUUCCGUUGCGGUAAGUGCCUCUAUCAAUCACAGGGAGAUCAAGUCCUUGCCUGAAGGUGUGCAUAUAAAGAUACCCCAUACAGCAGCAUGCCCUGAAGGAGCUUGAUGAUAAUUUCA